rnacentral:tRNA from 1 species
GCUCUGCUGGCGCAAUGGUAGCGCGCAAGACUUCUACAUCCGCUUUGGUUUGAAGGUCAAUCUUGAGGUUGCGGGUUCGAGUCCCGCGUGGAGCU